rnacentral:rRNA from 1 species
UUAAGCGACUAAGCGUACACGGUGGAUGCCCUGGCAGUCAGAGGCGAUGAAGGACGUGCUAAUCUGCGAUAAGCGUCGGUAAGGUGAUAUGAACCGUUAUAACCGGCGAUUUCCGAAUGGGGAAACCCAGUGUGAUUCGUCACACUAUCAUUAACUGAAUCCAUAGGUUAAUGAGGCGAACCGGGGGAACUGAAACAUCUAAGUACCCCGAGGAAAAGAAAUCAACCGAGAUUCCCCCAGUAGCGGCGAGCGAACGGGGAGCAGCCCAGAGCCUGAAUCAGUGUGUGUGUUAGUGGAAGCGUCUGGAAAGGCGCGCGAUACAGGGUGACAGCCCCGUACACAAAAAUGCACAUGCUGUGAGCUCGAUGAGUAGGGCGGGACACGUGGUAUCCUGUCUGAAUAUGGGGGGACCAUCCUCCAAGGCUAAAUACUCCUGACUGACCGAUAGUGAACCAGUACCGUGAGGGAAAGGCGAAAAGAACCCCGGCGAGGGGAGUGAAAAAGAACCUGAAACCGUGUACGUACAAGCAGUGGGAGCACAGAGCAAUCUGUGUGACUGCGUACCUUUUGUAUAAUGGGUCAGCGACUUAUAUUCUGUAGCAAGGUUAACCGAAUAGGGGAGCCGAAGGGAAACCGAGUCUUAACUGGGCGUUAAGUUGCAGGGUAUAGACCCGAAACCCGGUGAUCUAGCCAUGGGCAGGUUGAAGGUUGGGUAACACUAACUGGAGGACCGAACCGACUAAUGUUGAAAAAUUAGCGGAUGACUUGUGGCUGGGGGUGAAAGGCCAAUCAAACCGGGAGAUAGCUGGUUCUCCCCGAAAGCUAUUUAGGUAGCGCCUCGUGAAUUCAUCUCCGGGGGUAGAGCACUGUUUCGGCAAGGGGGUCAUCCCGACUUACCAACCCGAUGCAAACUGCGAAUACCGGAGAAUGUUAUCACGGGAGACACACGGCGGGUGCUAACGUCCGUCGUGAAGAGGGAAACAACCCAGACCGCCAGCUAAGGUCCCAAAGUCAUGGUUAAGUGGGAAACGAUGUGGGAAGGCCCAGACAGCCAGGAUGUUGGCUUAGAAGCAGCCAUCAUUUAAAGAAAGCGUAAUAGCUCACUGGUCGAGUCGGCCUGCGCGGAAGAUGUAACGGGGCUAAACCAUGCACCGAAGCUGCGGCAGCGACGCUUAUGCGUUGUUGGGUAGGGGAGCGUUCUGUAAGCCUGUGAAGGUGUGCUGUGAGGCAUGCUGGAGGUAUCAGAAGUGCGAAUGCUGACAUAAGUAACGAUAAAGCGGGUGAAAAGCCCGCUCGCCGGAAGACCAAGGGUUCCUGUCCAACGUUAAUCGGGGCAGGGUGAGUCGACCCCUAAGGCGAGGCCGAAAGGCGUAGUCGAUGGGAAACAGGUUAAUAUUCCUGUACUUGGUGUUACUGCGAAGGGGGGACGGAGAAGGCUAUGUUGGCCGGGCGACGGUUGUCCCGGUUUAAGCGUGUAGGCUGGUUUUCCAGGCAAAUCCGGAAAAUCAAGGCUGAGGCGUGAUGACGAGGCACUACGGUGCUGAAGCAACAAAUGCCCUGCUUCCAGGAAAAGCCUCUAAGCAUCAGGUAACAUCAAAUCGUACCCCAAACCGACACAGGUGGUCAGGUAGAGAAUACCAAGGCGCUUGAGAGAACUCGGGUGAAGGAACUAGGCAAAAUGGUGCCGUAACUUCGGGAGAAGGCACGCUGAUAUGUAGGUGAAGUCCCUCGCGGAUGGAGCUGAAAUCAGUCGAAGAUACCAGCUGGCUGCAACUGUUUAUUAAAAACACAGCACUGUGCAAACACGAAAGUGGACGUAUACGGUGUGACGCCUGCCCGGUGCCGGAAGGUUAAUUGAUGGGGUUAGCGCAAGCGAAGCUCUUGAUCGAAGCCCCGGUAAACGGCGGCCGUAACUAUAACGGUCCUAAGGUAGCGAAAUUCCUUGUCGGGUAAGUUCCGACCUGCACGAAUGGCGUAAUGAUGGCCAGGCUGUCUCCACCCGAGACUCAGUGAAAUUGAACUCGCUGUGAAGAUGCAGUGUACCCGCGGCAAGACGGAAAGACCCCGUGAACCUUUACUAUAGCUUGACACUGAACAUUGAGCCUUGAUGUGUAGGAUAGGUGGGAGGCUUUGAAGUGUGGACGCCAGUCUGCAUGGAGCCGACCUUGAAAUACCACCCUUUAAUGUUUGAUGUUCUAACGUUGACCCGUAAUCCGGGUUGCGGACAGUGUCUGGUGGGUAGUUUGACUGGGGCGGUCUCCUCCUAAAGAGUAACGGAGGAGCACGAAGGUUGGCUAAUCCUGGUCGGACAUCAGGAGGUUAGUGCAAUGGCAUAAGCCAGCUUGACUGCGAGCGUGACGGCGCGAGCAGGUGCGAAAGCAGGUCAUAGUGAUCCGGUGGUUCUGAAUGGAAGGGCCAUCGCUCAACGGAUAAAAGGUACUCCGGGGAUAACAGGCUGAUACCGCCCAAGAGUUCAUAUCGACGGCGGUGUUUGGCACCUCGAUGUCGGCUCAUCACAUCCUGGGGCUGAAGUAGGUCCCAAGGGUAUGGCUGUUCGCCAUUUAAAGUGGUACGCGAGCUGGGUUUAGAACGUCGUGAGACAGUUCGGUCCCUAUCUGCCGUGGGCGCUGGAGAACUGAGGGGGGCUGCUCCUAGUACGAGAGGACCGGAGUGGACGCAUCACUGGUGUUCGGGUUGUCAUGCCAAUGGCACUGCCCGGUAGCUAAAUGCGGAAGAGAUAAGUGCUGAAAGCAUCUAAGCACGAAACUUGCCCCGAGAUGAGUUCUCCCUGACUCCUUGAGAGUCCUGAAGGAACGUUGAAGACGACGACGUUGAUAGGCCGGGUGUGUAAGCGCAGCGAUGCGUUGAGCUAACCGGUACUAAUGAACCGUGAGGCUUAACCUU